rnacentral:rRNA from 1 species
CCUACGGGUGGCAGCAGUGGGGAAUAUUGGGCAAUGGGCGCAAGCCUGACCCAGCAACGCCGCGUGAAGGAAGAAGGCUUUCGGGUUGUAAACUUCUUUUGUCAGGGACGAAGCAAGUGACGGUACCUGAAGAAAAAGCAUCGGCUAACCCCGUGCCAGCAGCCGCGGUAAUACGGGGGAUGCGAGCGUUAUCGGGAUUUAUUGGGGUUAAAGGGUGCGUAGGCGGAGUGUCAAGUCAGCGGUAAAAUUUCGGGGCUCAACCCCGUCGUGCCGUUGAAACUGACGCCCUUAAGUGAGUGAGAGGUAAGUGGAAUGCGUGGUGUAGCGGUGAAAUGCGUAGAGAUCACGCAGAACGCUGAUUGCGAAGGCAGCCUACCGGAGCUCAACUGACGCUGAGGCACGAAAGUGUGGGUAGCGAACAGGAUUAGAUACCCGAGUAGUC